rnacentral:lncRNA from 1 species
AAAGAACUUGCAUGACAUCUUUUGUCCUACCCUCCCGUUGCAGCGGGGUCCUUACGGAAACUAAAGGAUAUUAAGGCCUCGUUUUAGUAGAGAAGCGGAACAAAGCAUUAGCACAUAGUGAACACAUCAACUCCUCAAACUACACUCAUCACCGAGAAGUAUCCCGAUUAUUGUCACUUAGGGGUUGUCGGAUCAUAACACAUAAUAGGUGACUAUAGACUUGCAAGAUAGGAUCAAGAACACACAUAUAUUCAUGAAAACAUAAUUGGUUCAGAUCUGAAAUCAUGGCACUCGGGCCCUAGUGACAACCAUUAAGCAUAGCAAAGUCAUAGCAACAUCAAUCUCAGAACAUAGUGGAUACUAGGGAUCAAACCCUAACAAAACUAACUUGAUUACAUUGUAAAUCUCAUCCAACCCAUCACCGUCCAGCAAGCCUACGAUGGAAUUACUCACACACGGCGGUGAGCAUCAUGAAAUUGGUGACGGAGGAUGGUUGAUGAUGAAGACGGCGACAAAUCCCCCUCUCCGGAGCUCCGAACGGACUCCAUAUCAGCCCUCCCGAGAGAGAUUAGGGCUUGGCGGUGGCUUCGUGUCGUAAAACACGAUGAAACUUUCUCCCUGAUUUUUUCUCCCUGAGACGGUAUAUAUGGAGUUGGAGUUGAGGUCGGAGGAGGUCCAGGGGGCCCACGAGAUAGGAGGGCGCGCCCUAGGGAGGGCGCCCCCUGUCUCAUGGACAGCCCGUGGGCCCCCUGGCUUUGAUUCUUUCACCAAAAAUUCUUAUUAAUUCUGAAAAAUGCCUCCGUGGAUUUCUAGGACAUUCCGAGAACUUUUCUUUUCUACACAUAAAACAACAUCAUGGCAGUUCUGCUGAAAACAGCGUCAGUCCGGGUUAGUUUCAUUCAAAUCAUGCAAGUUAGAGUCUAAAACAAGGAUAAAAGUGUUUGGAGAAGUAGAUACGUUGGAGACGUAUCAACUCCCCCAAGCUUAAACCUUUGCUUGUCCUCAAGCAAUUCAGUUGAUAAACUGAAAGUGAUAAAGAAAAACUUUUACAAACUCUGUUGCUCUUGUUGUUGUAAACAUGAAAAUCUAGCAUUCAAGUUUCAGCAAGUAUUAUGAACUAACCAUACUCACAAUAACACCUAGGUCUCACAAUUGCUCAUAUCAAUAACAUAAUCAGCUAGCGAUCCAUAAUAAUAAAACUCGGAUGACAACACUUUCCCAAAAUAAUCAUAACAUGAUAUAACAAAAUGGUAUCUCACUAGCCCUUUCUAAGACCGCAAAACAUAAAUGGAGAGCACCUUUAAAGAUCAAGGACUGACUAAACAUUGUAAUUCAUGGUAAAAGAUAUCAAGUCAAGUCAUACCCAAUAUAAACCAAUAAUAAUGAAUGCAAACGACAGUGUGCUCUCCAGCGGGUGCUUUUUAAUAAGAAGGGUGAUGACUCAACAUAAAAGUAAAUAGAUAAGCCCUUCGCAAAGGGAAGCAUGGAUUUGUAGAGGUGCCAGAGCUCGAUUUUAAAAUAGAGAUUGAAUAACAUUUUGAGUGGCAUACUUUGCUAUCAACGCUACAACUAUGAGAUGGCUUUAUCUUCCAUACUACAUGCAUUAUAGGCAGUUCCCAAACAGAAUGGUAAAGGUUAUACUCCCCCAACCACCAACAAGCAUCAAUCCAUGGCUUGCUCGAAACAACGAGUGCCUCGAACAUACAACAACCCUGGGGGAGUUUUGUUUAAUUAUUUUGAUUUGCUUUGGUCUUUUUGGAUCAGGGGACUGGGCAUCCCGAUUACCGGCCCUUUCUCGUGAAUGAGGAGCGCAGUCCACUCCUCUUGAGAAUAACCCACCUAGCAUGGAAGAUAUAGGCAGCCCUAGUUGAAACAUGAGCUGCUCGAGCAUACAAAACAGAAUUUCAUUUGGAGGUUUGGAGUUUGGUACAUACAAAUUUACUUGGAACGGUAGGUAAAUACCGCAUAUAGGUAGGUAUAGUGGACUCAUAAGGUACAACUUUGGGGUUUAAGGAGUUUGGAUGUACAAGUAGUAUUCCCGCUUAGUACAGGUGAAGGCUAGCAAAACACUGGGAAGCGACCAACUAAGAGAGCGACAACAGUUGUAAACAUGCAUUAAAAUUAAUUCACAUCAAGUACAAGCAUGAGUAGGAUAGAAUCUACCAUGAACAUAAAUAUCAUGAAGGCUAUGUUGAUUUGAUUCAACUACAUGCGUGAACAUGUGCCAAGUCGAGUCACUUAAUACAUUCAAAGGAGGAUACCAUCCCAUCAUACCACAUCAUAAUCAUUCUAAUAGCAUGUUGGCACACAAGGUGAACCAUUAUAACUCAUAGCUAAUCAAGCAUGGCACAAGUAACUAUAAUCUCUAAAUGUCAUUGAAAAUAUGUUUACUUCAUAAUAGCUGACUUAGGAACGAUGAAUCAUCAUAUUUACAAAAACAAGAGAGGUCAAGUGCAUACCAGCUUUUCUCAUCCCAAUAAGUCCAUCAUAUAUCAUCAUUAUUGCCUUUCACUUGCACGACCGAACGAUGUGUAUAAUAAUAAGAGUGCACGUGCAUUGGACUAAGCUAGAAUCUGCAAGCAUUCAACUCAAGAGAGAAGACAAGUAAUAUGGGCUCUAAAUAUAAAUAAACAAUCAUGCAUAAAAGAGCCACUAAGCAUUUUCAAUAUGGUCUUCUCGCCCCCCAAAAGAAAGAAAAGAAAAUAAAACUAUUUACACGGGAAAGCUCCCAACAAGUAAAAGAAGAAUGAGAAAUCUUUCUGGGUUUUCAUUUUAAUUUCUACUACAAGCAAGGAAAUUAAACUAACUAAUUUUGUUGGUUUUUCUUAAGGUUUAACAAACACACAAGAAGAAAACUAGAAAAAGAAAUUUAAACUAGCAUGGAUAAUAUAAUGAAAGAGUAUCAGCACCGACAACUAGUGUGUGAACAUGAAUGUAAAGUCGGUGAGAAAUACGUACUCCCCCAAGCUUAGGAUUUUGGCCUAAGUUGGUCUAAUACCAGUGACCGCCUGGUUGAUAUCCAUAAGUGAAACUGGGGUAGUACUGAGAUGAAGAGGCGACAGCCUCCUGAGCAGCAGCGUGUUGGCGAGCUGCCUCCAUUCCCCUCUCAUAUUCAGUUGCUUCUUCCUUGGUGACAACAUAUCUUCCUUUUGUCUGAUAAUCAAAAAGGUAUGGAGUAGGAAGAGUAACAGGGACGACAUUGCGUCUGUUAUAGGUUAGUCAAUAAUGGAGGAAUUGUUCAUUCCUCUCAAGAAAAUGAUGGUCAAACAUAGCUUCUUUAUCCAAAUAAACAGGAGGUACAAUCAUAUCCCACUCUCGUGGAGCUAUAUUAAGAAAAUUAGCCACACGGAUUGCAAAAAUUCCUCCAAAGAAAUCUCCCCUUCUAUUAUUAUUAUGCAACCUACGUGCAACUAUUUCCCCCCAAGUUAUAACCUCUAUAACUUGACACAGCACUCUUGAGGGCGCAAAGAUCAGGGGCACACAUGUGACAUACUUCAUCCUUACCGUUAAUGCAUCUACCAAUAAAGAGAGCAAAGUAAUGUAUAGCAGGAAAAUGAAUGCUCCCUAUGGUAGCUUGUGUUACGUCCCUAGAUUCUCCCACAGUAAUACUAGCAAGAAAAUACUUCAUAUUUGGGAGGAUCAUUAAUAUUACCCCACUGCGGGAGUUUGCAAGCAGUUGUGAAAUCCUCUAAAUCCAUGGUAUAAGAUGUAUCAUAAAUAUCAAACAUAACACUAGGAGAAUUACGCGAAGAAAUAUAUUCGAACCUCUGCACAAAGGAAUCAGUCAAUUGAUAAUAUUGAGGACACUUAUCUUGUAAGAAGUCCUCAAGCUCAGCAUUACGCACAUAUGCGUCAAAUUCCCCCUUGAAGCCUGCUUCAACCAUAAAAUCAUUGGAUAGCCACUCGCAAGCCCGUACAUUUGCGUCCCUUGGCAAAUUAACAUCUUGUUCACGUAUAGCAAUACUUGGCCCUUUCUUUGCCGAGGAACCACCUUGGUACAUUCUUCUAAGCAUAUUUCUUUUUCUGAAAAUUUCUGAAAUUUUAGUAACUUCAAAAUAAAAGUUAAAAUUAAACAAGAUUGAUAGCAACUACUCCUACAAGUGCCUAGAGCCUAUAUCAUGCAUUGGAAUUGCUUGGAACCUCAAAAAUUUAACAUGCAAGCUCAAGAAUAGGGUCACCUAUGCAGCAAAAAUUUACAAUGAAUAAAGCACUAGAACAAAAACUAAUUGGACCAAUGGACGAGUCACAUACCAAGCAAUAAUCUCCCAAAGCAGUUUUGUGAAUGGAGCUUUGAGCUAAGAGAUCGAAAAUCGCAGCAAAACGAGCUAGAACACGGGCUUGAGCUAGAUGGGGAUUUUUUUGGAGAGAAGAUGAAGUGUGUGGGUGCUAGCAUAAGUGGAGGGGAGCCACUAGGGGCCCACGAGACAGGGGGGCGCGCCCUACAUGGGGGUGCCCUCCUCUCUCGUGGCCUGGUGCUUGCCCCUCCUACAGUGUUUUUAGUGCCUAAAAUCCUCAAAUAUUCCAGAAAAAAUCAUACUAAAUUUGCAGGGCAUUUGGGGCACUUUUAUUUUCGUACUAUUUUUUAAUGCACGGAUAAUUCAGAAAACAGACAGAUAAUUCUAUUUUUGCUUUAUUUAUUCUAAAUAACAGAAAGUAAAAGGAGGGUACAGAAGGUUGUGCCUUCUAGUUUGAUCCAUCUCGUGAUCAUCACAAUGAAUCCACUAACAAGGUUGAUCAAGUCUUGUUAACAAACUCAUUCCGAAUAACAUGGAACCGGAGAAAUUUCGAAUAACACUAAGUUACCUCAACGGGGAUAUGAAAAUCCCCAACAAUAAGAAUAUCAUACUUUUUCUUGACAGUCGGGAGAGGAAAUUCAAAACCUCCAAAAAUGAUAGUUGGAUCUUUUUAAAUAGAAUUGAUGCUAUGAACAUGAGAUUGUUUCCUCGGAAAAUGUACCGUAUGCUCAUUACCAUUAACAUGAAAAGUGACAUUGCCUUUGUUGCAAUCAAUAACAGCCCUGCAGUAUUAAGAAAAGGUCUACCAAGGAUAAUAGACAUGCUAUCGUCCUCGGGAAUAUCAAGAAUAACAAAGUCCGUUAAGAUAGUGACAUUUGCAACCACAACAGGCACAUCCUCACAAAUACCGACAGGUAUAGCAGUUGAUUUAUCAGCCAUUUGCAAAGAUAUUCCAGUAGGUGUCAACUUAUUCAAUUCAAGUCUAUGAUAUAAAGAGAGAGGCAUAACACUAAUACCGGCUCCAAGAUCACAUAAAGCAGUUCUAACAUAAUUUCUUUUAACAGAGCACGGUAUAGUUGGAACACCCGGAUCUCCAAGUUUCUUUGGUAUUCCACCCUUAAAAGUGUAAUUAGCAAGCAUGGUGGAAAUUUCAGCUUCUGGUAUCUUUCUUUUAUUUGUGAUGAUAUCCUUCAAAUACUUAGCGUAAGGAUUUACUUUCAGCAUAUCAGUUAAGCGCAUACAUAAGAAAAUAGGUCUAAUCAUUUCAGCAAAGCGCUCAAAAUCCUCAUCAUCCUUUGACUUGGAUGGUUUAGGAGGAAAGGGCAUGGGUUUCUGAACCCAUGGUUCUCUUUCUUUACCGUGCUUCCAAGCAACAAAAUCUCUCUUAUGAUAACGUUGAUUCUUUGAUUAUGGGUUAUCAAGAUCGACAGCAGGUUUAAUCGCUACAUCAUUGUCUUUGCUAGGUUGAGCAUCAACAUGAACAUUAUCAUUAACAUUAUCACUAGGUUCAUGUUCAUCACCUGAUUGUGUUUCAGCAUCAGAAAUAGAAAUAUCAUUGGGAUUCUCAGGUGUGUCUACAGUAGGGUCACUAGAAGCAUGCAAAGUUCUAUCGUUUUUCUUUUUCUUCUUUUUAGAAGAACUAGGUGCCUCUAAAUUAUUUCUCUGAGAAUCUUGCUCGAUUCUCUUAGGGUGGCCUUCACGAUACAAAGGUUCCUGAGUCAUUCUACCAGUUCUAGUAGCCACUCUAACAGCAAAGUCAUUUUUAUUAUUUAAUUCAUCAAGCAAAUCAUUUUGAGUUCUGAGUACUUGCUCAGCUUGAGUAGCAACCAUAGAAGCAUAUUUGCUAACACGGUGAAGUUCAUCUUUAACUCUAGCCAGAUUAUCACCUACGCGUCCUAUCUCGAAAGCAUUAUUCUUUAACUCUCUACCAACAUAAGCAUUAAAACUUUCUUGUCUAGCCAUAAAGUCAUCAAAUGCACCUAAGCAUGGGCUAUGAAAUUUAGUAGAGGGUAUUUCAACUUUGUCAUAUCUAUUGAGAGAAUUUACCUUUACUACCUGUGUCGGGUUAUCAAGACAAUGUGGUUCUUCAAGCGGUAUAUUAAGACCAUGUAUUCCUUCAAUAGGUGGUAAAUUCUUAGCAUCUUGAGCUUUAAUACCUUUUUCUUUCAUUGAUUUCUUUGCCUCUUGCAUAUCUUCAGGACUGAGAAAUAAAACACCUCUCUUCUUUGGAGUGGGUUUAGGAAUAGGCUCAGGAGUUGGCUCAAUUGGUUCAGGAAUUACUUCAGGAAUUGGCUCAGGAAGAGUCCAAUUAUUUUCAUUAGUCAACAUAUUAUUCAAUAAUAUUUCAGCUUCGUCGACUGUUCUUUCCCUGAAAACACAACCUGCACAACUAUCCAAGUAGUCCUUGGAAGCAUCGGUUAGUCCAUUAUAAAAGAUAUCAAGUAUUUCAUUUUUCUUAAGACGAUGAUCAGGCAAAUCAUUAAGUAACCGGAGAAGCCUCCCCCAAGCUUGUGGGAGACUCUCUUCUUUGAUUUGCACAAAAUUAUAUAUUUCCCGCAAGGCAGCUUGUUUCUUAUGAGCAGGGAAAUAUUUAGCAGACACGUAAUAAAUCAUAUCCUGGGGACUACGCACACAACCAGGAGUAAGAGAAUUACACCAUGUCUUAGAAUCACCCUUUAAUGAGAAAGGAAAUAUCUUAAGUAUAUAUAAAUAGGAAGACUUCUCAUCAUGAGUGAACAGGGUGGCUAUAUCAUUCAACUUGGUAAGAUGUGCCACAACAGUUUCAGAUUCAAGGCCAUAAAAAGGAUCAGAUUCAACUAAAGUAAUAAUAUCAGGAUCAAUAGAGAAUUCAUAAUCCUUAUCAGUAACACACAAAGGUGAAGUAGCAAAAGCAGGAUCGGGUUUCAUUCUAGCAUUAAGAGACUGCUGCUUCCAUUUAGCUAAUAAUUUCUUAAGAUCAUUUCUAUCAUUGCAAGCAAGAAUUUCCAUUGCAGCUUUUUCAUUCAUAAAAUAACCCUUAGGAACAACAGGUAAUAUGUAAUCAUUGGGGGGACCUUCAUCAUCACUAUCAUCAGUAAUAGGAUCUUCAGUAAUUUCAUUCCCCCUAACUCUAGCAAGUUGUUCAUCUAAAAAUUCACCUAAUGGCACAGUAGUAUCACGCACAGAAGUAGUUUCAUCAUGCAUAGCAGAAGUGACAUCAUCAAUAACGUGCGACAUAUCAGAAUUCAUAGUAGUAGCAGCUUUAGGUGUCGCAAGCCUACUAAUAACGGAAGGAGAAUCUAGUGCAGAGCUAGAUGGCAGUUCCUUACCUCCCCUCAUAGUUGAGGGCAAAAUAGUAGUUCGAUUGUCUUUCAAUUUCUUCAUAGUGAUCAACAGAUAUAAAUCCCAAGUGACUCAGAGAAUAGAGCUAUGCUCCCCGGCAACGGCGCCAGAAAUUACUCUUGAUAACCCACAAGUAUAGGGGAUCGCAACAGCUUUCGAGGGUAGAGUAUUCAACCCAAAUUUAUUGAUUCGACACAAGGGGAGCCAAAGAAUAUUCUUGAGUAUUAGCAGUUGAGUUGUCAAUUCAACCACACCUAGAUAACUUAGUAUCUGCAGCAAAGUGUUUAGUAGCAAAAGUGGUAUGAUAAUAAUAGUAACGGUAGCAAAAGUAAAGAUAAAUGUUUUUGGGGUUUUGUAGUAGUUGUAACAGUAGCAACGGAAAAGUAAAUAAGCGAAGAACAAUAUAUGAAAAGCUCGUGGGCAAUGGAUUAGUGAUGGAUAACUAUUCUGAAUGCGAUUCGUCAUGCAAUAGUUAUAACAUAGGGUGAUAUAGAACUAGCUCCAAUUCAUCAAUGUAAUGUAGGCAUGUAUUCCGUAAAGAGUCAUGCGUGCUUAUGGAAAAGAACUUGCAUGAGAUCUUUUGUCCUACCCUCCCGUUGCAGCGGGGUCCUUACGGAAACUAAGGGAUAUUAAGGCCUCCUUUUAAUAGAGAACCGGAACAAAGAAUUAGCACAUAGUAAAUACAUGAACUCCUCAAACUACGGUCAUCAUCGAGAAGUAUCCCGAUUAUUGUCACUUCGGGGUUGUCGGAUCAUAACACAUAAUAGGUGACUAUAGACUUGCAAGGUAGGAUCAAGAACACACAUAUAUUCAUGAAAACAUAAUAGGUUCAGAUCUGAAAUCAUGGCACUCGGGCCCUAAUGACAAGCAUUAAGCAUAGCAAAGUCAUAGCAACAUCAAACCCUAACAAAAUUAACUUGAUUACAUGGUAAAUCUCAUCCAACCCAUCACCGUCCAGCAAGCCUACGAUGGAAUUACUCACGCACGGCGGUGAGCAUCAUGAAAUUGGUGAUGGAGGAUGGUUGAUGAUGACGGCGGUGUUGAAUACCCCUCUCCGGAGCCCCGAACGGACUCCAUAUCAGCCCUCCCGAGAGAGAUUAGGGCUUGGCGGCGGCUCCGUGUCGUAAAACGCGAUGAAACUUUCUCCUUGAUUUUUUUCUCCCCGAGACGGUAUAUAUGGAGUUGGAGUUGAGGUCGGAGGAGGUCCAGGGGGGCCACGAGAUAGGAGGGCACGCCCUAGGGGGGGCGCCCCCUGUCUCGUGGAUAGCCCGUGGGCCCCCUGGCCUUGAUUCUUUCGCCAAAAAUUCUUAUUAAUUAUGAAAAGUGCCUCCGUGGAUUUCCAUGACAUUCCGAGAACUUUUCUUUUCUACACAUAAAACAACAUCAUGGCAGUUCUGCUGAAAACAACGUCAGUCUGGGUUAGUUUCAUUCAAAUCAUGCAAGUUAGAGUCUAAAACAAGGGCAAAAGUGUUUGGAAAAGUAGAUACGUUGGAGACGUAUGAGGGUGGGAGACGAAUUUCUUCGUCGUCCGCUCCCCACUCGAGUCGAACAUAGUUCGGACAAGAAUCUCUUGACAAGGAAACAGACCUUAAUGAGUUUAGCAUGUACAAGGCGAGUGCUGAAAAAUAUUUGCGGCGGUGAACUCCAUGACCGGUGCCCAAUCAGAUUCGAUAGGCACGGACGCACGCAGUUUGGAUCCUGUGGCCGGAGAUGAGUCCCAGGGUCCGAUGACACCACUCUCACAGGACGUGGAAUCAGUGUUCGGCUCUGACACCAAUGAGUGUGCGGCUUCCGUGACGGGGUCCAUCCACCCACCCUCGGAAGGCACGAUCUGCUCCAGAUUGACUCCCGAUGCCCCCGCAGGCGCGAUCUCCCGAAUACUUUCCGACGGCAGAUCAAGGUCAUGCCCGUCGUGACCGUUUGGCGCACCUGUCAUGGGCUCGAAUCCGUCGAAGAUCAAGUCUCCGCGGAUGUCAGCAGUAUAGUUCAAGCUUCCAAACCUAACCUGAUGGCCAGGGGCGUAGCUAUCGAUCUGCUCCAGAUGGCCAAGCGAGUUGGCCCGCAGUAUGAAGCCGCCGAAUACAAAGAUCUGCCCGGGAAGGAAAACCUCCCCCUGGACUGCAUCGUUGAAGAUGAUCGUCGCGAUGACAGAGUGGAACUCUCAAUGAAAGCACCAAUGUCGGUGUCAAAACCGGCAGAUCUCGGGUAGGGGGUCCCGAACUGUGUGUCUAAGGCUAAUGGUAGCAGAAGGCAGGGGACACAAUGUUUUACCCAGGUUCAGGACCUCUCGAUGGAGGUAACACCCUACUUCCUACUUGAUUGAUCUUGGUGAUAUGAGUAUUACAAGAGUUAAUCUACCACGAGAUCGUAGAGGCUAAACCCUAGAACCUGGCCUAUGAUUAUGAUUGUUGUUGUCCUACGGACUAAACCCUAUGGUUUAUAUAGACACCAGAGGGGGCUAGGGUUACACAGAGUCGGUUAUAGAGAAGGAAAUCUACAUAUCCAAACAUCCAAGCUUGCCUUCCACGCAAAGGAGAGUCCCAUCCAGACACGGGACGAAGUCUUCCAUCUUGUAUCUUCAUGGUCCAACAGUCCGGCAAAAGUAUAUAGUCCAGCAGUCCAAGGACCCCUUAAUCCAGGACUCCCUCAACAGGGAAAUGUAUACUGGGUUUGAAAAUAUAGAAGUGCCAUGCAUGGUUAUACUCAUGUUAUCUCCCAAUCAAUUCUUCACAGGAAACUACCAUGUCAUGCAUGUUAUGUAAUCAUGUUCUGUCCUCACAAACAAAUUCUUCAAGGUAACUAACAGACCAAGCAUUGUUCUAUACUCGUGUUAUGUGGGCAAAUUUUUUGUGAGGAUAUUAUUCUAGCCAUUGAUUGUUGAAGGGCGAAUAUAGGCAUGUACACAUGGUAAGCAUUGCAGGAUUUCACUACUUCCAAAUAUAGAGUUCUCCAUAUGCACAUUUACUUCCCUAAUAUAUGGUUAGAUGAAACCAACAGUGUGGUGGAUGUUUCUACAUCAUGAAAAUGAGGAAACUAACAUGGCCAUUGAUACACACUCAUAUUUAGUAGUAGUAUAUAGAUUACAGUAAAAUAAGGAUAAUAUCCAAUAUUCCUAACCAUUUAAUUAUUCAGGGUACAAAUUGGCUGUAAUGACAUGGUCACAAUCGCUUGAAUUAACUCAUUCCGAAUAUAGCUGAUUUACGACGUCUCUAAUACAUUGCCAUAGUUCUACUCAAAUUCUGCUCAAAUAGGGAUAUGCCAUUCAUCACAAAAAGUUCAAACAGUGUCAUGGCGUCAUCAUUAACAUGAGACGGAAACAACUUACACGCGCCAUCCCAACAAUACGUGGUGCCAUCUGCUUUGUCGAUCACGUAGAUGAUGCCAUUGUGUUCAAUAGCAUCACAGAAGUGUGUAUCAGCUUUGACGAUGAUCCACUGCGAGCUGAGUUGCUCCAGCUAAAGAAGGCACCGGCAUAAAGAUAGGCAAGUCCGCGGUCGAACAAGGCAAUUAGCUUGAAGUCUGCGUAAUUCGCAUGUCGUGUGGGCACUUGGCAGAUUACAAUCUUCUGCAAAACAAGGUCCGUCCAACUGACGUGGUAAUCUAGAUGACUUGGACCGCGAUGGUAAUACUAUAUAUAAUCCAGCGGAGGAAGGAUAAUAUCAUGGGAGGUCUGGAAGUUCACGAGCACCAACUUUUUACCAUCUUCUCUGAAGGCAGCCAUCCAGUGGGAGUUCAUGCCGACCCAGUAUAUACCUGCCAAGAAGUUUUGGGCGAUGGUGAUCGGAUGGAAGUCGAGGGAAAUGAUGUACGGCGACCCACUACAUACAUGCAAAGAAGUUUCGGCUAAUGGAGAUCGGAUUGAAGUAGAGGGGCAUCAUGUACGCCUCCGUAUCAUGGUGAGCCAAUCUCGCAAGACCAGAUAGCAGCAAGCAGGGUGUCUUGAAAAGCUUAGACCUCGCUUCAACGAUGGUCGUGUGCAUGUCCCUCGAGCAUGCAGCCAGCCGCAGGAUGCUGAACAUAUCCAUACACGAACAACAGAGGUCAAGGAUGUCACUAGGGAGAUUGCUCCGAUCGCGGCUCAUAUGGAUGCUGCGCGGUUCGCAUUCGGCCAUGGUGGAGUUUGGAAGGUGGGGUUUUUUGGGGGCUUGAUUUACGGGGGAGAAGGCUGUCAGUGCUGGAGCGGCUAGCGAGGGAAUAGUGGUACUGGGGGAGGCGAGCGAGGCGAUGGUACACGGGGCAUAGUGAGAUGGAGACGGAGAUAGAGAAGGAGAUGGAGAUGGAAGAGGUGCUAUGGGAGGGGAGAGGGAGACGAGGCGAGGCGCCAAUGUGCUGUACAGCAGCGGUGACAGACUGCACAGUUCAUAGGGUGAAGCUGACUUUGGUAACCUGAACACGCCGCCUGGACUAGUGUCAGGCGCAAGGUGUUGUCACUUCACUGUGAGGACAUGAUGAAUAGUAUUUUGACCAUCAAGUGUACCACAGUUGUACUACUACUACUACUACUACUACUAGUAGUAGUAGUAGGAACAUGAGUACUCCAGUAUCGUAUAGCGGAAAAUAGGUCUCCUGUGCUAGCAUGCAUGUUCACUUCAUCGUUCAGGUAUCAUCCAUAUUGCGAGCAGAACCAAAUUCUCGUGCAUGCCCAAUCAACACCCUCCCGCGAUGCAUGCGGUGGUCGUUCUGGUGCAUCAAGGACGGCAUGCAGAUCCUUCCACACUUGAGAAGAGGAAAAAUGGAAAGGUAGAACACGGUAGUAGAGGAAGAGAACGCUGGCUAACGAGGCUGGGAGGGAAUCGAGCAGGAAGUUAAUGCUCCACGCCUAAAGGUUUUGGGAAAACCUGAUUUUCAUAAGGUGACUUACUAACCUAAACGGAGGGAGUAUUCCUUAACCAGAGAAUGUUGUGUCUCCCACUCACGCGCCAAUAUCCAUCUGAACGAGCUACGACACAUUUUUUAUCUAUUAGCAUAGGUCCCACCUAUCAGGCAGGAUGGGCACGUACACGAACAUGUACGACUCAUCAGUCUACCCGCAUAGCCUUUCGUUUAGUCUACCUAGCCGUCUAAUCAACUGCCUGCACACCACUUCUCCCAUUUACUUCUCCAUUAGGAACUGAUUUUCCUCGGCUUCUUCACCUCCCCUUCGUCUUCAUUUGCAUCCAAAGCCCACUGUGUUCACAUUGUUUUAACCUCUUUAAAUAAUCAUCUACUACUUCAGUUAGACUAGCCAUCUAAUCCUAAUUCUCCAAACCAUAGCCCUCCAUUCCAGCGGUUCCAAAUAGCGAAAGAGAUCGAGAUGCAGGUUUUUGGCGUCCAACAUGUCCUCGUCGAAGGCUUGAUGAGCAUAGUUGACACCGUCACCGUCCACCCAAGGGUUGUUCGGCAGUGGAUCAACAAUGUAUCCAACUCCCUCGAAAAGGUAGAGACGAGGGUCAUCGGUCUGGACGCAGAGUACAUGAAGCGUGCCCCUGGGAACAUCCAACGCGCCACCGUCCUUCAGCUGUGCCUUUAAGAUGAUGUUUUGGUGUACCACAUCAUACACUCGCCCUCCAUACCAGGUGAGCUUCACGAUUUCUUGUCUCGGGAGGAUGUAUACUUCUGUGGGGCAGCCAUCAAAGGGGACAAACAGAAGAUGGAGCUGUACAACCUUGAUUUGAAAAGCAUCGCUGACCUACAAACCAUAAUCAAAAUUCCUAUAGAAGAUUGUGAUAAACAGACACCAUCCCUAUUCGACGUAGCAAAUUUUGUGCUCGGUACAAAUCUUCAGAAGGGUGACGAGACGGUGGCAUUAAGGUCGUCCGGAUGGGAGAAUCAUCUCUUGACGGACGAGCGGAUAAAAAAAUGCUGCCCUUGAUGUCCGUGUGAGUUUCGAGAUAGCUGCAUGGUCCAAAGAGCUUGUUGUGAAGCCGUCUCCCACAGAAAAUGAGAACAAGAAGAAGAAGAAGAAGAAGAAGAAGAAGAAGAAGAAGAAGAAGAAGAAGAAGAAGAAGAAUAAGAAAAGGCUGCACUAGCAGGAGGGCAUUAUACAUGGAUGAACUAUUUCCUCUCUUGUAAAAAAAAUUAUUCCCUCUCCGUGUAUAUUGAUAUAGAUGGACUAUUUGGAUGGUGUGCAUGUCUUUGGAACAGAGUAGUAGCAUGGGUCCGCUUGACUAUAAGGAACUAUUUAUCUGCAUAUAUAGCUUUCUCUGCUACUCCUUCCAGUGAUCGGUAUGCAGUGCAUGUGUCCGUAGACAUGACAGCUUGUCCAUGGAAGUUCAACUACGGUGACCAUCACGUUUCAUCUCGCGAUUCCCACGACGCCGCUCCAACCCACGGCACCACGUCCCCCGAUGUGCGCCUCACCCCUCUCGGCCGCACCGCCCCUCUGCCUUUGUGUGCAUGACAUGUGGGCCACCUAAAAUGCGGCGAGCAUCAAGUUUCUACCACAGCCACACACGAUUCCCACGAUGCCACUCGAACCCAUGACACCACACGUCCCCCGACCUGCGGCUCACCCCUCUUGGCCCCACUGCCCCUCUGCCUUCGGGAGCAUUACAUGUGGACCAGUCACCUAUCGGGUCCACAUGUUAUUGACUCAAAGGUAGGUGUAGUAAGGCGCUGAAGCUCAGUGCUGACGGCCCUGAGAGGGAAAUGUAACUCCUACGCCAGGGCUUGUGGUGCUACCGCUACACGAACUCGUGCCAAACUCGAGAUUUGUUUCUUUACUAUACAUGCACGCAACGAUUUAAUGGACAUUGUAUUCUCAACAUGUGAUGGGGAGCUCUAAAUUUAAAUUUGAAACUUAUAAAACGAAAAGAUAGAAAACAAAUAAAUUCGGAGAGAGGGAGUAUAUCGUAGGAUGUGUUCCAUACAAAAUAAGUCCCCUGGUUUGUCACCGCGAAGAUGCGGUUAGAAAGGAGCACAGCGUCUUCGUACUCGUACGGCAAAAAUCGGCCGUAGACAGCAUGGUCCGCCUUUGACCGCCAUGUGCAAGGUUCAUGCUAUCUUAUUCAAUCUCACCGUGGUUCCAUCGUACCAAUUCAUGCGGUGGCCCGUUGCAUGGCUGAUCCCAAUGUUGGACAAAGGUUCUACGGGAACGGUGUCACCGUUGUAAAUGUUGUGCAAAUUGAUGUUGGUACCCUCCCGUACAUAUGCAAGCCAAUCUCCACUCGCACGAAGCCUAACCUGUGAAACAGUGGGCAGGGGGAGAAUUAGGAAUUGGACACGGAAGUAGUCAAACUCAUCUUACCUACUCAUCGGUGGAAAUCUGAGUGCCCCUCAAUGUCGGCAUCUCAAGGGGCGUCAACAUGCAACUACGGCCACGCCGCGCUGGAGAGACCCCCAAGGAAACAUCCUCGUGCGUUCCACGGAACAUCAAGACGCAUUUGUAUGAGUAGUUUAUCUUGUGAAAGAAAAGGAUGAAUGAGGGAAGGCCUCUAGAGAUAGAGAUAGACACUACUACUACCAAUGUGCUGGCCCAUGCGUUGCAAUGGAUCCAAAGUAGUAGAAUAAUACUUGUUCACGUGCUUUAAAUAUAAACACUGUAGUUUUGAUAUACAUGUGUCAGCAGACAUGACAGCUUAUCCAUGGAAGUUGAACCACGACGACCAUCACGUUUCUUGAUUCUACCACUGCCACACCCACACGCGAUUCCCACGACGCCGCUCCAACCCACGGCACGACGUCCACCCACGUGGACAUGGAUCCUCUGACGUGGCAUCACUGCCUUGCCCUGCCUUUCCUUCGUUGAUAGGUGGGACCCAUGCUUGUGGGUCCCACAUGUUAGUGACAGAAUGGUAGGAUUGUUCGCGUCAUCCCUCUCGGCCCCACCUCUCCUCUGCCUUUGUGUGCAUGACAUGCGGGCCAGCUGAACUGCGGCGACCAUCAACUUUCUACCAUAGACACACCUGAUUGGACGCGGUUUGCCUGCUCCGCUGCUGUGCUCCGAUCCGUACUCCCGCACCAUCGAAUUUUCAUCUAGCACCUAUGACACAUUUCGUCCCGGGCAUCCAUCCUCAGCUGGAGUACUUCUGUAUUACAGGUAGUACCCACCGGUGUGGCCAUCUACACCUCGUAACGCCCUGACGCCCAGCUGUGGCACCCUCGCCACCACAGGCCAGUUCAUCUUGAACGAGUAAGUCGCGAACCACGCCACCACCAUGAAAAUGACAUGUCGGCCAGCCGCAUUUAAGGUCCGCAUGUCAUUGACUCAUAGACCGGGCACUAAGCCACUUAUAGCCAACCUUAUAGCUAACCUUGUUGUAGUAUGAGUGACUAAGUAAUGACUAUGUAUGACAUGCCAACAUCAGAUAGCCUAACGCAUCGUGUUAAAUAUCCAAGGGCGACACCGCGCGAGCGACGCGACGCUCAUGGUAGGCGUGACCAUGAUAUGGGCUACUGGAAGCCCUUGGAUCUGAGAUCAAACGGUCGCAUGCUAAGUUGCUGGAAAUUUGUAGAAUAACCCUCUAGGAUAGGAUAUUCACCCAUAGGUCUAGAAUCACGCCAUGCAACCGUUCGAUCUCAGAUCCAAGGGCUCUCAGAAGCCUGUAUCAUGGGAGAAUGGAAAGCCACUACCCUGUCGUUCGCGCGCUGGCAGUUCUCUCCUACUCGUCCCCGCACGUCCUUUAAUACUACGGCGGGUCGCUCCUAGUCCUCCCAUCCUUUCACAUUACUGCAGUUCCACUAAUCCUAACCCUCCUCCAAAAUCCAUGGCGUCCCAAAUCUCCAUGAUAGGUGGUGAGUACAAGGUUAGAACCAUCACCGGCGAUGAGUUCGACGUCAUCUACACCCGUUCUUCCGCGACGGUGAAAGGAUGGAUUUCUCGCUUCAGACGCAUGUUCGAAAACUCAGAUGAUGAGUGGGUCGCUGGGCUAGAUGUUAAGCACACCACAGUCCUGGGACUAGAGAAGGAUCUAAAGGACGAAGAGAGGAAGAAGCCUGCCGUGAUCCAGGUUUGUGUGCAAGACUUUUGCUUGGUCUACCACAUAUGCCAUGCCAACGUUGAAUGCCUGGAUUUUAAGAAAUUCCUCGAGAGCAGCCUAGUCAAAUUCGUUAUUGUAGACUUUACGAACGACAAAGAAGUCCUGGGUCGGAUAUGCCUCAUUGUAGGCAACCCCUUCAACCUCCAGAAGAGUCGGCUGCUGCCCUCUCGUCAGCCUUUAAUGCUGACCGUGGCAGGAGCCAUGGUUCAUCCUUCGUACCGUAAACUGGAGAAACCUCCAUACACGUUUCAUUGUUAUGCAUGGCAGCGGAAUGUACUAGAUAUGGACCACAUCCACUACACUGCAAUGGAUGGCUACCAUUGUUUCAAUAUCUACAAGGGUUGGAUGAAGAGCAAGAGCUAAGUGUGCGGUUCAAGCAAAUUUGUUGGCUGCCGUUGGAGAUGCUCUUAUGCUGGAAAUAAUAGAGUGACAUCCAAUCCAUUUGGGUUAAUUUCCUAUAUGAUUGUCCCUCUAUAAAAAGUUAAUUGCAUGUACAGUGUACACGUGACUUGCAGGGUGGCUACAGCUUCAUACAGAAAGUUAAAAAGAAACAAGUCCAUCCUUAAUCUUGUAUUCUAAGAACUCUGCAGGUUCCACUAUUAGUAUAGUAGUGAAAUAAGUAUAUAUUAAAUAAGUAAUAUAUAAUAUAAAAAUCUAAAGUUAAAAGACAGAAUUCAAACUCAUGUCAUCGCGUUGCGAGCAUCCGGCGCUAACCAGCCCAGCACAUUUUUGUUGUAGACCGGGCUGGAGAUAUAUCUCCAUGUCUACUCUUAUACUCCAUUCGGUCCUAAAUAUUUGUCUUUUUCAGAUUUCAAAUGGACUACCACAUACGGAUGUGUACGUAGACAUAUUUUAGAGUGUAGAUUCACUCAUUUUGCUCCGUAUGUCUUUCCAGGAAGGGGUCGGAUUUGUCCUUGAUUUAUUUAUGAGGUAUCCAGAUGGUACUGCACCACCAAGAAAAGAGGGUAACAUCAAAAUUAUGGACUACUUUUUUGAGUAUGUUGGUAAGGUCCGGUCAUAGUCACUUGUUGACAUCUCUAAAAAGACAAAUACUCCCUGCGUCCGGAAAUACUUGUCAUCAAAAUGGAUAAAAGAAAAUGUAUCUAGACGUAUUUUAGUUUUAGAUACAUCUCUUUUUAUCCAGUUUGAUGACAAGUAUUUCCAGACGGAGGGAGUAUUUAGGAACGGAGGGAGUAGAAAACAGAGUUGGUGAUGAUGGUGUGCGUGCCAUCCUGCAAUAUAGGCCGUCGGAUUUAUAUCUAACGGAUAGGAAAGAAACUAUGGCAAUUUUGCAAAAAUAUACCCACACGCGUCUCCACUAUUGUAGGUUAUGAAAUGACCUCAAAGUUAUUCUUUCUGAUCGAUCUAUUGGGCUAUUCCUAUAAGUGUCACAAACAGCCCAAGAGUUCAUACUAAAAUAACACAUUAAGACACACAUGAAUCAGAACCCUGAUGUCACCUAGAUACUCCAGUUUCACCACAAGUAUCCACGGGUUUGAUUAUACGAUAUGCAUCACACAAUCUCAGAUUCGUCUAUUCAAACCAACACAAACAACAUCAAAGAGUGCCCCAAAGCUUCUACCGGAGAGUCAAGACGAAAAUGUGUGCCAGCCCCUAUGCAUAAGUUCACAAGGUUAUAGAACCCGCAAGUUGAUCACCAAAACAUACAUCAUGUGGAUCACGUGAAUAUCCCAUUGUUACCAUAGAUAAGCACAUGCAAGACAUACAUCAAGUAUUCACAAAUCCUUAAAGACUCAAUCCGAUAACAUAGCUUCAAAAUGAAAACUCAAUCCAUUACAAGAAGUUAGAGGGGGGGGACAUCAUGAGAUCCAACUAUAAUAGCAAACCUCGCAAUAAAUCUAGAUCGUGCAAAAUCAAGAACAUGAGAGAGAGAGAGAGAGAUCAAACACAUAGCUACUAGUACAUACCCUCAGCCCCGAGGAUGAACUACUCCCUCCUUGUCAUCGAGAUAGCCAGGAUGAUGAAGAUGGCCACCAGUGAUGAUUUCCCCCUCCGGUAGGGUGCCAGAACAGGAUCCCGAUUAGUUUUUGGUGGCUAUAGAAGCUUGCGGCGGCGCAACUCUUGAUCUAGGUUCUGUUCUAGUGGUUUGGUGAGAUAUAAGAGGUGUUGGCGUUGAGAACAAGUCAGGGGAGUCCACGCGGGGCCCACAAGGUCGGGGGCGCGCCCUAGGGGUGGUGCUCCCCACUUGUGGCGGCCUCAGGACUCCUCCGGCGCAUCUCCGGUACUUUGUGGGCUUCUUUUGGUCCACAAAACAUCGUCUUAAAGUUUCAGGUCAAUUGGACUCUGUUUAUUAUUCCUUUCUUGCGAAACUCAAAAACAAGGAAGAAACAGAAACUGGCAUCCAAGAUUGAUAAUAUUGCAUGGAACAAUCAAAAAUUAUAGAUACGUUGGAGACGUAUCAGAUGCCGGUCCAAAACACAGAGGCCAUGUGGCGAUUAAAGAUAAUAUGAUUUGUAUCCUCGAUCUGGCCACUGAGGGCACAAAAUUGAGAGGCAUGCCAUCAACAUUUAUGAAUUUGGUCUACAACUGGCAGUUUCCCUCGCAUAGCUUUCUGCAUAUAGAUCUUAACUUCCAAAGGGAUCCUAGCCCGCAAAAUGGGUUGGAACCCACUAGCCCUGGAGCCCAAAACCAUCUUAGAGUAGGCAGAUUUAAUCGUAAACUGCCCACAUGCGGUGAGAGGCCAAGAAACCACAUCCCUAGAAGCCAAGAGCGUAGGGAAGAUGACACAAAGGUGGUGCCAGUCCGCCAUCUCUCCAAGAGACAAGGAAUGCCAGAAUUCAAGGUCCUAAAUAUUACCAAUGAGUUCUCAUAUGGAAAAAUCCAAGACAAUAGAAAAAGAAAAAAAACAGGAAAAGGGGUGGCCAAUGGCCCGUACCCACACCACCAAUCCAACCAAAGUGAACUUAAGCCCCAUUUCCAACUGUGAAUUUAGCCAGGGAUCUAAAGGUUUAACACACUAUAAUCUUUUUACGCCAAAUCUGCGAUCCACCCAAGCCAAUGGUAAACUAGGCACCACCAUUGGGGAAGUACCUGGCCUUAAGAAUAUCAAACCACAAGACCUUACUUAAGAAUAAGGCAAAGGUUCAUCACUUAGGUGUUAAUAAUGCCCAUUCCCCUAGGUUUUUGGGCCGACACAUAGUUCUCCAUUUUAACAAGUCUGUAUUUCUUCUUGUUAUGCACAAAAUUUUAGUAGAAACCACAGCAGUGCUUGUCAAAAACCAUGUGGAAUCCCUUCAGGAGGCGGUAGAAUCCCAUAUUAAACAUAGGUAAGGUACAUAGGUGCACAUUCGUCAGACACACCCUCCAGGUGGUUGAAUUAUACCGGCCACGCCAAUGAGUGUCGUGGUUCCCCACUCUCAGCAUGCCCAGGGCAAAAUAAUGGGCACAGGGCUUGAUGGGGGAAAUGGUCAAGCCAAGGUACAUGAAUCGGAAGGAUCCUAAAUUACAAUUUAGCAUGUCGGCCAGCAUGCACUCCUCCACGACAUCACAACUAGUUAGAAUAAGUUUGCUCUUAUUAAAAUUGAUCUUAAGGACAGGAAGCAACUCAAAGCUUAGGAGGUGUGAGAUCCCAGGGAAUGAGUUGAGAGAGAACAGAAGCAAUGUGCUUGACCUCCGCCGCCCACGAGAGAAUGCAAGAGAGGGCACCAAAAUGAAGUUGAAGAGCAUGGAUGAAACAGGGUCACCAUGGCACAAACUACGACGAUUAUUGAAAAAGGGCCCGACAACCCCAUUGACUAAAACUUCAGUGAGACCACGACCAACCAGCUACAUAAAACGGUGAACAUAGUCACCAUCAAAACCCUUAGCAAGAAACAUGUCGUGCAGGAAUGCCCAACUAAUAGAGUCAUAUGCCUGCUCAAAGUCGAGCUUGAUGAUAGUAGCCUUGCUCCCUGUAGAGUGCACAUCAAAUAUAACUUCAUGAAGGGAAAGGAUGCCAUCAAGAAUGAAGCGCCCCAUAACAAAGGUCUUCUGGUUAGGGAUAAUGAUCAUGUGUGCCACAAAUGUCAACCUGGAGGCAAAACCUUUGGGUGGAAACUUCACAAUAUUAUUCAUAAGGCUGGUGAGGCAAAAUUGCCGAUUACAGUCGGUUCCUUUCACUUUUGGAAUUAAGGAAAUGGCAUCAUAGUUAAUCUAGAGAUGUCAACAAAACCAAGACAAAACCAUGAAUAAUGGCAUAGAUGAGAAACUUCAAAACCAGCCAAAACUUCGUCAAGAAAGAAAUAGAAAAAUCAACGGGACCGGGCACAUAAUUAGAUUUAGAGGCGGCCACCACCUCGUCAAUUUGACUAUCAGAGAGGGGAACCAUAAGCCUGAAAUUCUCCUCAGGGGAAACUUUCUUAGCUGCACCCCAAAGAUUGGGACCAUGCUGGGGAUUGUACCCGCAAUAAUUUUAGAUCAAGAGUAUAGAACAAACACUUAGCAUUUCGGCCCAUGCAAAAUGAAUUCAGUCACCCUUGAAGGAAAUAGGCCAUGAUGGCAAAUCUGAUAACAAAACAAGCUCUGAGCAUGAACCGGCGAGAUCCUCCUUAGCGCCUUAAGUGCUAGGUGGCUAGCUGGCGCUCAUGUGCUAUCGCGACUGGUUGGCCCAGCAAUGCACUGCACUCAUCUGGUUGAUAACCCACAAGUAUAGGGGAUUGCAACAGCUUUCGUGGGUAGACACUACAAAAAAGGACACAUCCGUGACAUUUUGGGCCGAACAAUUUUUUUUCUCUGACACUUAUGACACUUCUAUGACGAUAAUUGUGACAAAACCCGGUAUCAUCAUAGAUGUGGUGGACUCCUACUUCUAUGACAAAAAAUCAUGACAGAAAAUGGGCUUUUUGUCGUGGGCGGGCCGGAGACGCAACUGCAUGACAUUCUUUGGGCCGUCCAUGACGGAAAAAACCGUGGUAGAAGCGAGGGCGAGGAAAAUAUCGGGGAGUUUCAGGUUACGGUGGGUGGUCGGGGGUUGAGCGAUGCGUGUUUCUCUCAUACACAUACGCGCGUGUGUGCGAGGCGUUGGGCUCUAACUGAACCUGAGUGAGGUGUCGCCUAACUGAACCCGAGCGAUUGCACUCCAGGCUACGCGUUUCUGAAACCGAGUGAUCGAGCGAUUCCUUCGCUACUACUGCUAACUGAGGCCGAUCAAACCCUGUUGCCUCCUUACAUUGAUGAACAUUGAGCGUUGUUGGGGGGUUUGGAUGAACAGUUCCCGGUGGGGGUGGAUGAACAGGACCCCGUGGUGUUGCCUCUGGAUGAAUAGGACCUCGAUCAAUCGAGCUUGUUGGGGCUGGAUGAAUAGGACCCCGUGGAGGGCUGGAUGAACAGGACGACCCCGUGGAGGGCUGGUUGAAUAGUAGUCGGUGGAGGGUGGAUGAAUAGUAGCCGUGAAGGGGUGGUUGAACAAGAGCCCAUGGAGAGGGCUGGUUGAAGAGUAGCCGAUCGAGUAGCGCACGGUGGAGGCUGGAUGAACAGGACCCCAUGGAUGAACAGUCGCAGGUGGAGGCUGGAGGUGGUCGACGGUGGAUGAACAGUAGCCCAUGGAGGCUGGAGGAGGUCGAUGGUGGAAAUGAACAGUAUCCCAUAGAGUCCAUUUUGCGGUACGCCACACCCCUCCCGAUGAACAUGACCCCAGUUUCGACCAUAGCGCUCCAACACAAGUCCGUUUCCUCCGUUUUGCGGUACGCCAUACCCCUCCCGAGCAACAGGACCACGUUUCGACCGUAGGAGGUCCAACAGAAGUCCGUUUCCUCCAUUUUGCGGUACGCAAGACCCCUCCCGAUGAAAAAGAUCCUGUUUCGAACAUGGCCGGUCGAACACAAGGCCGUUUCCUCCUUUCUACGGUACGUCGGGCCUCGUUUCCAUCGGCUAUUCCGUCCAAGCCAGUUGGCACCCAUGCAUUCCGUUGCCUCCCGAUGAACACGAUGCAUUCCAUUGCCUCCCCAUGAACACGACGACGACGCAGUUUCUCCGUUCCGACCCAGCCAUGUACAUGAUCCCUGGCCGUACGUAUGCGCGAGUAGGCGUUCGAGACCCCGCUCGUAUGUACGUACGUGGCCGUAUUUACUUUCUUGCACCCUGGCCGUUGUACGUACAUGUAUAUGUUACGUGCGCGCCUCUACUACGACACGUGCGCGUCUCUACUAUGACACGGGCGCGCCUCUACUACGACACAUGCGCUCCUCUACAUCGACCAGUAUGUACGUACACGUUCGGGACUAGAAUGACAAUGCUACGUACGCUUCGACCAGGUAGGUCCCAACUGUCAGGCCCUUCCUUGCGUGCGAAGAUGUAGCUGGUGUGACCCAGCAGUCACGGGGGCGAAUCAUUUUCUUUGCCCGUAAUAUGUACGCACUUCCUUGCGUGUGAAAAUGUAGGUUGUGGGUUCCAGCAUUCAGGGGGGAACAUUUUUUUCGCGAAAUAUGGUUGCCCGUCCAGUGGGUCCCUGCUGUCAGGUGGAGGAAUAAUUAUUUUGCGCGUAAUAAGGGGGCACUUCCUUGCGGCCGCCGUGGACCCAGCUGUCAGCCUCUCCACAUACAGUACUCUUCUGAUGGAAGUCGUUCCUUGACCACGUUGACCACGCCACGCCGAGAGCACCAGGGCGGUCGACGACGGCGAGGCCUAGGAAGGGGAUGGCGCUGAGCCAGGGAAGAUGCGACAGUGGAAGCCCGCGUGGAGAGGAGUACGCGGGUUCACUGGUUCGGCUGUGGGAGCCUUCUGAUGACUCUCGUUUGUUGACCAUGUUGACCACACCAUGCUGAGCGCACCAAGGCCGGUAGAUGACGGAGAGGUCCCAGACUGGAACGACCUGGAGAUGGGGAAGACGCGGCAAUGGAAUCGCAAAUGGAGAGAGUGGGAAACUUGACUGGUUCGGGUGCGAUGUAGCACUGCCACCCACGGGAGUCAGGAGCAAGAACAGAGGUUGAAGAAGGAGCAUGGCUGUUGGAUAAACAUCCAAUAGUCCAACUGCUAGAAUCAUUUGUUGAUUAAGUUGACAAAGCCCCGCGUACACGUCUGCUUAGUAGGCCCACAAGUCAGCCACCAAAUCUGUCGGGUCCCAGCUGUCAUCAGGAGGAAUAGUUUUUUUGCAUAACAAGGAGGCACUUCCUUCCGUGCAAAGAUACAACCCGUGGGUCCCAGCUGUCAGGGGGAGCAAACAGCUUAAUAAGGAGGAACUUUCCUUGCGUGCGACCAUGGACCUCGUGGGUCCCAGCCGUCAGGCUCUCAUGUACAGUCCUCUUCCGAUGACUCUCGUUUGUUGACCAUGCCGCGCCGAGCGCAGCGAGGCGGUGGAUGAGGGCGAGGCCCCAGACUGGAAAGACCCGGAGAUGGGGAAGACACAGCAGUGGAGUUGCAGAUGGAGUGGAGUAGGAAACUUGACUGGUUCAGGUGCAGGGUGGGCCUACACUCGGCAGGGAAUAAGAGGAGGUGCGGAGUGGAGGGAUGGCCUGGCCAUCAGCGGGGUAGCGUUUCGCUGCGAGGCACACAAAACAACGCCAUUGGACACCGGAGGCUGGAGCAACCGGUCCCGGUAGCGCUGGGGGAAGAAGACGAGAGAUUGAAGAAGAAUGUCGGCCGUUGCAUGUAAAUCCAACGCCUUGCUUAGGCUUCAACCUACUGGCUGAAACAAUGAUGUAGCAUCUAUGCAGCCCAUUUAUAUAUAUGGUAGAAUUUAAAGCCAAUUUGCAUUUUUCUCGAAAUCCGCGGAUUUUCUGGGCUGGGUGAAAAUAUCAUGUUGGGCUGGACAGAGAAAUGUUAUAAAAACAUAAACACAUGAUUGCACGUCUAUUACUGCAUUGGUCAGUAAAAUCUUUGCAAGCUUUUGUACGCAAUCACUAGGAGUUAACUUGCCAAGUUAUAUAUAAACAAUUGUUAUUAUUAUUUUGUAAGAACUUUCAGUUUACGAAAUAAAAUAUCAUUUUAAUUUGAUGUGUUAAUAGGAUGUGGGGUAUUAUUAUUUUUUAGGCUAGACAUGGGACAAUUGAGUUGGUUUUAGGGAAAAGUAUAGAGAGAAAACUCAGUUUACAUCGAAAAAGAAAGACGAAGAAAAUUCAGAUAUAGGAUUAAUGAAAACAAAAACUAAAGGAAGUGGGCAGGUCUAUAAAAUGGUUGGACGAAUGAUAGGUUUAACGGAACCUUAUGUUUUUUUCUAUUAUAUAUAUAUAUACUAUUAUUGAAGGGAAAACAUAGGUUCAGUUUUGCAUACUUAUAGAAAAAUAGAACUGAGCUGUGCGUCAUCUUGAAAAAACAAACAUAACUUGGGCUGCUGAUGUUAUAGACUAGCUAGGUUGGGAGGCCCAGAGGCCGCUUGAUCCAAAAAACGUUGAAACAUGUCGUGGGCUGCGCAUGUUAAACAAGAAAAACUGCCAGCCUCUCGACGAACAGUUUUCUCCUGAUUCCUCUUGUUUUGCUGACCAUGUUCGGAACGACAGACGAUGGCACCGCGGUGAAAGCACCAAGGUGGAGGACGACUUCAAGAACAUGGACCGAACGAACCAGAGCGGGGGAAGACGCAGGCGGAGGGGAGUAUGAGGGUUGACUUGUUAGGAUGCAAGGUGGCCAGUGGAGCUCCUUGGUAUCGUUGUCUUCUUUCACGUUGGUGUAGCAGGGUUGAUGAUGGUGUCGGCGAGGUCAACCACGGAGUCCUUCUCCUGCCCGUUCCCGAUGAUUUGUAUUUCUUCUGGAUGUCGACAAGCUUAUUGCACCAGAUGGCCGACUCAUCGCGUUUUUCCUUCUCUCCACUGUAGCGAAGGUGCAGUCGGCGCUGCCGAUGAAACGGGCGAAUGCUCCAGAACCUCUGAUGGCCCUACAGCAGUGUUAGACGAGAACCUUGUCUCGCACGCAUACCUGGGCGACCGCGAUCCGCUGGUCCCUGUCAGGAGAUGAAUGGAUGGGCACAAGGUCUAGUCCUACGACCUUGUGCUUUCUCGUCCUGUAGGUACUGCUUGAACUCGGUGAGGCAGAGCCUCACCGAGUCUAGAUCGUUGGUGUACUUCAGAUUCAACUUUGUGCCGCCAUGGGACUGAACGGAGAACUCAAAGGUGAACUCCUUGCUGAAGUCCAUAUCCAGCAGGCUCAACCCUCAGAUCGCCAUUGGAGUCUCUUCAAGUGAACGAGUGAGUUGGUGGCAGUAGUAGUUCGUGUUUCAGCUCUUGGUGAACAGGAUUCAACAGUAAACUAAGUGUUUAUAAGCGACAACAGUUACUACCCCUCCUUCACCCGCUGCACGCCCGGCAGCAUAUGCACCCUCGGCACAUACAAAUGCCUCCAUUAAGAAACCUAUUCUGGCCACACACGUCGGUUCACGAGUGGGUCUGUAUUGGUAUUGUAAUAACAACUGUUAGUGGUCACUUUACUUAAAUUUAGUUAGCUUUAAUUAAAAUGUUUUCUUAAAAUAAGCAAUGGAUUGGCUCUUUCUAUCAGUGCCACAGGAUCAACAUGCACAACAAUUAGAAUUAUUAUUCUAAGGACGCACAUGAUCAACACAUUUGCCGCACUUUCACACGGAAAAUACUACCAAGUUUGAACAGUUUGUUAUGAUUGCUGUCCUCUGCGUCACCAUGCCAUGUUUCCCAGCUUGCUAGAUUCAGAACCAACAAAUAAGAUUCAAGUAAUAAGUACAACAAACAUGCCUACACAUCUCAUUGAUUCCCGGCUUCCAAGAUUCAGAACCAACAAAUAAGAUUCAAAUAAUAAGUAAAACAAAUAUGCCUACACAUCUCAUUGAUUACCAGCUUGCAAGAUUCAGAACCAACCCAAUAGAGCCUUUUGAUAAAGUGAAUAUAGGGAUUAAAUCCAUCUUGGCUAGCCGUGUCAUACAACCCAAGGAUUUGGCGAAUGCUCUUGACCAUCACAACAUCUAUAGUAGAGUAUUCCUGUUUGCACAGAUAAGAAAGAGCAUGAUUACUCUAAUAGUGGCACUAGUUGAAGCAACCGGUGUGAGGGGCCCUGUACUGCCAUGACUCAAUGUGGUGAACCUGCAACUCCACUCGGAUGAGGUCAACCUGUAGAUCCAUGAUUCAAUUCAUGAGCCUUUUUCUGCAGUUCACCUGAAAUGAAGCAAAGAUUGCAUCAUUCAGCUAGCAAGAAGUACUUGCUCUCGUGAGCUGGCAGGUUCUUCUUUAGUACUUGCACUAAAAUUUAGCAACAUUGAGGUUGGCUGUCCUGCUCAUGUACAACUAUAAUUUGCUUAUCCUUUUGUGCAGUUCCACUAAAAUAAAGUGUCAUUGUGGUGACAGUGACGGCUCAUCUUGCAAAAGCUAACAAAAUGUUGCACGAGAUUACCAGCUGAAUUUGAUGGAGAUUUUGGAAACUCCAAUCACCAUUUUGUGCAGUUCCACCAAAAUUGGGAGAUGUUGCCCACGUGACAUUUAGUUGAACUGCACAAGACACUCAUUCCAAAAGAAAGUGUUUUGUGUAGUUCACCAAAGUGUCACAAUAGCAACAGGUGAAAUGGAUAUCCCUGUCUGCACAAAAAGAUAGAAAGUAGAUAGUUGAUGGUCAAUAAGAAUAUACAAAACAUACACGAAAUGAAAAGAAGCAUAUUAAUUGUACAUGGCAGUCACGCAUGGACAGUAGAAAUUUUAAAACGUCAGCAAUGCCUGAUGUUACAGGAAGCAUUACGAUUAACUAUGACAUUCGUCAAAUAUGCGAUUACUUUAACGGUGACAUUGUUUGUUUACUAGAUAAAGUAAUCAAAAGCAGCUAAAGAGUUGGUUUAAGGGCAUGGGACCAUGGGGACACUAGGUCACUCAGCAGCGUAAAGAAGCAACUUACUUAUCAUACUGGGGAAAACAGCAGGAGUACCAUUUGUUAACACAGUUUCAUUACAUCAUAUCACUUGAGGCAUUAGAUUAACAGUAACACUGGUUAGACAUGUCAUUAAGGUAAUGGUGUGAUCGCUUCAUUUUGCAUGCGCCCUUACAUUAACAACAACAAAAGGUUAGUUAUCCUUGGGCCCACUAAAAGAGAACUAAAAAAUCUCCCCUGCCCGCACCAGAUCGCUCUCUCCCCACCCCCCCUCGCACGACUCCUCUCUGUUCCCCAUCAGGCCGCCCGCCCAAGCUUCGCUCUGCCGCUCUCCCUCUCUCUCCUCCAGCCGCCCUCUCCUUCCGCCUCCGCCACCCUACUCCGACCGCCCUCCCCCUCCGGCCUUCGAAGGUCGCCCCGCUCCCCCUUCACCGGUUGUUUUUCUCCCUUUGUCGUGCGAGGUCGCGACGCAUCUGUCCGGGAGGUCGCAAGAGGGGUGAGUUUGUUCGUUCCUUCUCUGUCUCAUAGCCAUAUCCCUGAUCUUGCUCGCUCUAGCGAUAAUUCUGAUAUGGAAAAAGUAGAUCCUGAUCAAACAUGGUAUAGAUUUGUGGUGCACGCAUGGAAUCGUUUGAUGCUACUUGAUGAGGUAAUAAAUCUUUCUAGGGGACCAAAGAUUCAGUUCACCUUUCUAGGUAUUUCAGUUUCAGGCUUGCAUUAUUUCUGGAGGCCCAAAGAUUCAGUUCACCUUUCUAGGUAUUUCAGUUUCAUGCUUGCAUUGUUUCUACAGGCCCAAAGAUUAAGUUCCUAGUCGGCAGCAAGCGGCCUUGCUACCCAUGCCGGUGUCGAACUCAACUUGCAAGCGCCAGCGUCGGAGGGGUUCCCGGGGCUUCGGCUCUACAGAGCCGUCCUCCAGAGCAACGAUGACGAGCUCCUCCCUCGGUGCGUGAGGGGCUCUGUGCUCCCUCCCUAUCAUGAAUGACUUCCAUGAUGAGUUAGCUCACGCUUUGUUUCAUGGAGUUUUUUUUGUGAAGCUUGAUUGAUGACUUGUAUGUUUAAGUGGGAUAUCUCAUUUGUAUGGACAAAGUAAAAUUUAUCAUGUUUUGCAUGCUUUGAUUUGUAAAGAUGGUUCGUUUAUGUCAAUUGUGAGCGGGAGGAGCUCACACAAAAGCUGGCCACACCAAAUCCGGCAGGAAAUAUGGUCCAAAGUAAUCAAAUGAUUGAGAAUGAGCAUUUAUUGUCAAUCUAACCCUGCCAUCCAUACACCUCCUUUGUUUAGAGUUAGUUUAGGGCUAGUUCAGUGUUAGAAUCUAACCCUAACCUCUAACUGAGUUAGAGUUCUCCUCGUCUUGGUUCAUCACCAUCAUACUUUCCCAAUUCCUGUGUUUUUAGUAUCCUGCGAAUCAAAGAGGCCCUUUUUUGUGGGAAAAAUCAAAGAUGCCCUUAGACUAGUUUAGGUCCGGUCAUUUUUUAUAAGUAUGUUAUGUCCAAAAUUUAAUGAAUGUGCUCCGAUUUCUACGAAAAUAAUCCGGUUUCAUGUAGUAAUUCAUUUAUUUAUUUAUUCUUCUGCGGGGGUUUGCAUGUAAUUCUUGAGGUCUGAAAUGUAAAGUAUCCCGGCAUAUGCUCCGAGUCGUGCAUGCACUACGGCCCAGAUGCUCUAUGUCCCACAUGUCGGCGAAAGGGAGCACAUAGAAAUAGCCUCGGAGUACAUAUAGGAGGAUAAAUGCGUGAAAAAAUAUGUACUGUGAAGCAUAGUUGCGGUUCGAAAAGGAAACCUAAAGUGAUGACAGCUAUACGUCGCAUGCACCGAACUAGUGGUACCAAACAUACGAUUAGUUUUCCCUAAAAAAAGAGGUACGAGUGCUCAGUACUCCUAUUCUAUCAACACGAGUCCCAUCUGACAACACCGUCUGUGCUACAGCUAGCUCUCCUCCCUCGUUUCUCUCUUCUAGUUCUAAACUCAGCCGACGCCCGGUGGGUGGGGUGGGUUUGCUCAACUACGGCCCCACCUCACAGUGAAAAUGUUACAACUGGAAUAAAAAUGCCAUAUACUCCCUCCGUUCCUAAAUAUAAGCCUUUUUAGAUACUAUUUCAAAUGGAAUACAACAUACGGAUGUAAGUAGACAUAUUUUAGAGUAUAGAUUCACUCAUUUUGCUCCGUAUGUAGUAGUCGCUUGCUGGAAUCUUUAGAAAGACUUAUAUUUGGGAAUGGAGGGAGUACUAUACUAAUAAAACAUUAAGGCAGGCGAUGCAGUGCUAGUUACAGGAGGCAAGAAGAAGAGAUGCAUCCAUCGACAACGUCCACCUCCUCGACUCGGGGCGCAGGCCCAAUGAACGGCGCCUAAGUAACAACGGCUUUCGUGGCCAGGUCGACGUCCUUCUAAACAAUGGCGUCCAAAGAUUCCAGCCACUGGAAGAAGGCUAAUGUCUUUAUGUCUUCCCUUGCCUUGUAGUGGAUUUGCAGGUCGACAGUUUCUUGCAUGGAGAGGCGCUGCGCGGCGAGCGCGGCCUCAAUGUGCACAUUCUUCGUCACGACCUCCAGCACCUGCAGGGCCACCAGGGCUUGAAAGAGUUCAUCACCAUGCAGGCCGAUGAGGGUGGCAGGCAAUAAGGAGCCUGGGCGCGUGGGCUGGAGCAGUACAGCAAGGUCGUCUGCGUGCUUCUUGACGGUGGUGAACUUGCGGGUGGAGUUGACCAUCAUGUCGUCCAUGAGGGAGGCGAAGCCGGCGUCGGCGAGGUCUACGAUGCCGACGGUUGCCAGCAGUGUCUGGAAACUCUGCAUGAUGCGGGGCCGCAGGCCGGCGCAUUGGUUGAUUUGGCACAGCCGACAGCCACUCGCGUCCAUCGCCUCCAUAGGUGCUUGUGGCUUCUGGUCACUUGAUCUGGGAUUGGAGUGAGCAGUGUUGCGCAGAGACUAGGAGUAGAUGGAUUGGAGUGGUGGGGCGCCUUUAUAUGAGAGUCCAAACUCUGUUGCAUUCACAUCAUGAUGGCUCUAGUCUGCUUCUCUAGUUAGUUCCCUCUACAUGUAAUUGAGGAUGCAUCGUUGACCGUUCAACGUCUCGGAAACCGCUACCCUCUCCCUCCUUGGCAUUCAAGCACCUAUGGAGGUGACUGCCAUUCGCAUCAAUCGCGUGUCAGGAGACGUUUCCGUUGACACUACAAAAAAAAUACACUUCCGUGAUGAUACGUGUUUGUCAUAGUAGAUCGCAUUUUUUGUCAUGCAUGUACAUCCAUGAUGAUUUUAUGACAGAAUCAAGAUAGUCAUACCUGUGUUGUCGUAGAAGUGUUCCAUGACAUUACCAAAAUUAUCAUCACGGAAGUGUCCACUUCCAUGACGAUAAAUCGCACGUCACCGAAGUGCUUUCAUCAAGGGUGACCGACACGUGGCAUCCACCGUAACGGAACGCCGUUAAGCUAUCGGGUCAGAUUUUGGAUCCGAUAACCCGUUAACAGCCCCGACCAAUGGGGACUUUCCAUGUGUAAAAUCAUCAUUGGCUGGAGGAAACACGUGUCGGCUCACCGUUGGGAUAAAUGCCAUCCACUCAAUGGACCGAAGGCGCCUAUGAUACGAUGACACGUGGCACGGCCCAACAGAGGCUCAUUCUUGUGAAAAGGCCGGCCCAUUUAACUUGGUCAAAAGGUGGCGGGCUGGCCCACGGAAAGCCUGUUAAUGGCCUAUUCACAUAUAGCCCAUUUACAGCCCGCUAACCCAGGGCCCGUUACGACCUCUCUGAAUUAGGCCCACUAGCGUCAUCUGGGCCAUCCAAUAUGAUUCCAGUCCGUUUUAACUUCCGGCCCAUGUGUGGCCCAUGACUUCUUUUGGCCCAUAUGAGGCCCUUUGUAAAUCUUGGCUCAUUAACGGCCGGUGGUGAAACUGGCCCGUAAUGAACCGUGUAUCACUUUAUACCCAUUAACGACCUGUUAGUCCACUGGGCCGUUUCCAGCCCAACUUAUCUUUCGGCCUUCUCAGGACCCAUUGAUUCUUGGGCUCAUUUGCAGCAUUUGGUUAGAUACGGCUCGUUACUGUCAUUUUCUGCUUGUGGGCCAAAUUCAGCCUGUCGUUACAGUCGGCCCGUUUGUGGACCGUUAAUACGUUGGGCCGUUUUCAUGUCAAAAAAACUCGUUUGGCUAUUUUCAUAGAGUUAUCAAAUACGUCCUAUUAACGGCCCGUAAUGGUCCACGAAUAGUACGGCCCAUGAUUGGUGAAAUGAUGAUACGCCCCGUAGAAGGCCCAUGGAUCGUACAGCCCGUAAGAGGCCCAUGGAUCAUACGGCCCAUAGAAGGCCCAUAGAUCGUAUGGCCCGUAGAAGGCCCAUGGACCCUACCGCCCGUAGAAAGCCCAUGAAUCCUAUGUUGGAAAUGCCCUAGAGGAAAUAAUAAAUUAGUUAUUAUUAUUAUAUUUCCUUGUUCGUGAUAAUCGUUUAUUAUCCAUGCUAUAAUUGUAUUGAUAGGAAACUCAGAUACAUGUGUGGGUACAUAGACAACACCAUGUCCCUAGUAAGCCUCUAGUUGACUAGCUCGUUGAUCAAUAGAUGGUUACGGUUUCCUGACCAUGGACAUUGGAUGUCAUUGAUAACGGGAUCACAUCAUUAGGAGAAUGAUGUGAUGGACAAGACCAAAUCCUAAGCCUAGCACAAAGAUCGUGUAGUUCGUAUGCUAAAGCUUUUAUAAUGUCAAGUAUCAUUUCCUUAGACCAUGAGAUUGUGCAACUCCCGAAUACCGUAGGAAUGCUUUGGGUGUACCAAACGUCACAACGUAACUGGGUGGCUAUAAAGGUGCACUACGGGUAUCUCCGAAAGUGUCUGUUGGGUUGGCACGAAUCGAGAAUGGGAUUUGUCACUCCGUAUAACAGAGAGGUAUCUCUGGGCCCACUCGGUAGGACAUCAUCAUAAUGUACACAAUGUGACCAAGGGGUUGAUCACAGGAUGAUGUGUUACGGAACGAGUAAAGAGACUUGCCGGUCACGAGAUUGAACAAGGUAUCAGGAUACCGAUGAUCAAAUCUCGGGAAAGUAUAAUACCGCUAGACAAAGGGAAUUGUAUACGGGAUUGAUCGAAUCGUCGACAUCGUGGUUCAUCCGAUGAGAUCAUCGUGGAACAUGUGGAAGCCAACAAGGGUAUCUGGAUCCCGCUGUUGGUUAUUGACCGGAGAACGUCUCGGUCAUCUCUGCAUGGUUCCCGAACCCGUAGAGUCUACACACUUAAGGUUCGAUGACGCUAGGGUUAUAAAGGAAGUUUGUAUGUGGUUACCGAAUGUUGUUCGGAGUCCAGGAUGAGAUCCCGAACGUCAUGAGGAGUUCCGGAAUGGUCCGGAGGUAAAGAUUUAUAUAUGGGAAGUCCUGUUUUGGUCACCAGAAAAGUUUCGGGUUUUAUCGGUAACGUACCGGGACCACCGGGAUGGGUCCCGGGGGUCCACCAAGUGGGGCCACCAUCCCCAGAGGGCUGCAUGGGCCAAGUGUAACGCCCGGAUAAUUAGUCUACAGUAAAACUCUUCUAAUGAUGCCAUGUCAUCUUUGUUACUAUUGCUAAUCAAGUGGUAGUUCAAAAUCAUUGCAAAUUCAAAAUAUGAAUUAGUGACAAACACCCUAAGUCUUCAAAAGUCAAAGCGAAAAUGUUCGGGGGUUGCCAAAUUUUGCACUGGUAAUUAUGGUGAAGCAAACACCUUUUUAUAAAAUGCCUAAAUGCCCUAAAACUAAAUAAAACAGAAAGGGAAAGUAAAUAAAAGAAAGAAAUUACAAAAAAACAAAAAAAGGGGGAAGCCCCCUGGACCAGGCAGCCCAACCCACCCGCACGGCCACCGCCCAACCCCCCUGGCCCGCAGCCAGCCUGGACGGCCCAGCCGGCCCAGCUCCCGCACCGCGUCCCCUUCCCCUGUUCCCUCGACCCGGGUCGGAACAGGGCGCGUCCCAGCCGAACCCCCCUCGCCGGUGACGAGACGAGGGGAUAAGGUCGCCACGCCGCGCCCCCUCGGUCUCCCCUCCCCACUCGCCCCCACUCUCGCCUCGGCUCCUGCGCCACUCCCUCUCCCCUCCAGAUCCACCUCGCUCUCCCCCUUGCUCCCCACCACGUCCGAGCGCUGCCAUGGACCCGCCGCCGUGAAUCGCGCGGCCACAGCCAUCGCCUCGCCGCGCCUGCGAGUCCGUCGAUGCCUCCAUCUUCUUCCUCGUCCACCGGAGGCCUCAGCUGGAGCGGGGGAGCCCCGAAUCACCGGAUCCCCUUCGCCCUCAUCUCCGACGGCCGCGUUCUUCACCAACUCCCGCGACACCCCCCCUGCUGCUACUAAACUACCACGAGCCAUCUUGCGUGCCGCACGGUGAGCUCCCCAUCUCCCGCCCAUCUCCGUUAGCUCCCUCGCACGCCCUAGCUAGCUACCGCCACUCACCCGAGCGCCCCGCCGUGAAUCUCGUCGCCGACGCGUUCCCGGUGACUAAAUGGUCACGGGGCCGAGCCCUUUCUGCUCAGCGCGUCGCGCAGCUCCGCCCUAGCCUCCCCGUUAGCCCCGGAGCGCUCUGCCUCGCCAUCUUCGCCUCACGCCCGAGCCACCUCGCCGCCGUCGAGCUCGUGGCGCUCGACUCCGGCCACCACAGCCUCCGCAGCCACCACCAUUCGCUCCGCCGUCGUCUUGCGGUUCGAAUGCGACCGGUCCCGCCCAUUUUGGUGGCCUACAAACGAAACCGCCACUCACCCGAGCCCCGACGUCCGCCUCUCUGCUCGCCGGCGACAGCUCCGGCGACCUCAGGACGAACCACCACCACCACUAGAUGCGCCUCUGCGCGCUAGUUCGAACGAGCCCAGGCGCGCAUGGAUCCGUGCCCUAUGUGCAGUUUCCGGCGAACUCCGGCGGGCCUGCGCCAUGCUUUUGGUCGCCGGCGGCGGGAACCGCCCCUGCUAACCUAGCACCGCGGGUCCCGCUACCUGGGCCACUGACUGGUGGGCCCAGGGCCCCUUGUUGACCUGUUGACUGGGUCAACGUGCUGACUAGGCAGCCCAGUGGCACUGACAUGCGGGCCCCAUGCCAUAAAAGAAUAAAAACAAAUAGAUAAACUGCUAAUUAAUUAAAUUAGUUAAUUAAAACAUUAAUCUCUCACUGACUGCUAGGACCCACACACUAAUUAACCCAUUUAGUUAGUUUUAGAAUUCUGUUAAUGUCCCUGACAAUGACAUGUGGGUCCCACUGGACCCACCUGUCUGGUUUGACUCGUCAACUGACCAGUUGACCUGCUGACAUCACUCUGAUGUCAUGCUAACGUCAUCAUUCACUGUUUUGGAUAAUGCUGGAAUUAAAUAACUAAUUAAAAUCAGAAAAUGAUUUAAAUCUUUAGAAAAUCAUAUCUUUUAAUCCGUAACUCGGAUGAAAAUACUUUCUACAUGAAAGUUGCUCAGAACGACGAGACAAAUCCGGAUACUCAGCCCGUUCGUCCGCCACGCGUCCCUAGCAUAGCGAACACGCAACUUUCCCCCUACAGUUCACCGGUCCGAAAACGCGAAACACCGGGAAUACUUUUCCGGAUGUUUUCCCUCUUCGUCGGUAUCACCUACUACCGCGAUUGGGCACACCCAGCAUCGUUACUUGUCAUGUCACGCAUCGAUAUGCAUCUGUUUGCAUUGUAUUCAUUGUUUCUUCCCCCUCUUCUCUCCGGUAGACUACGAGACCGAUGCUGCUGCUGCCCAGUACGACUACGGAGUUGACGACCCCUCUCUCUUGCCAGAGCAAUCAGGCAAGCCCCCCCCCUUGAUCACCAGAUAUCGCCUAUUCUUCUCUAUACUGCUUGCAUUAGAGUAGUGUAGCAUGUUACUGUUCGGUCACUCCUAUUCUGUUGCAUAGCCUGUCAUUGUUGCUACAGUCAUUGAUACCUUACCCGCAAUCCUAAAUGCUUAGUAUAGGAUGCUAGUUUAUCAUCAUUGGCCCUACAUUCUUGUCAGUCUGACUUGCUAUACUAUUGGGCCAUGAUCACUCGGGAGGUGAUCAUGGGUAUAUAUUAUACGCAUAUACAUACUACAGAUGGUGACUAAAGUCGGGUCCGCUCGAAGAGUACCCGCGAGUGAUUCACGGAUUGGGGGCUGAAAGGACCUUUGUCCCGAUGGCCCUCUGUGUGGAUCUUUGUGGCGGAGCGACAGGGCAGGUUGAGACCACCUAGGCGAGAGGUGGGCCUGGCCCUGGUCGGCGUCCGCGGUUGCUUCAUAAUAACACGCUUAACGAGAUCUUGGUAUUUGAUCUGAGUCUCGCCAUUUGGUCUAUACGCACUAACCAUCUACGCGGGAGUAGUUAUUGGUAUCCCAACAUCGUGGUAUCAGCCGAAGCCUUCUAGACGUCAGCGACUGAGCGGCGCGCGCCGGAGUGGAACGUAAGCCUGCUCUUGUAUUAAGGGGGCUAGUUCUGCUUUCGGCCGCCCUCGCAACAUGCAGGUGUGCAAUGGGCGAUGGGCCCAGACCCCUGCGCCAUAGGAGUUAGACCGGCGCGCUGACCUCUCUGUUAGGCCUAGGUGGGGCUGCGACGUGUUGAUGUUCCGAGGCCGAGAAUGACCCAGGAAAGUGUGUCCGGCCAAAUGGGAUCGAGCGUGUUGGGUUAUGUGGUGCACCCCUGCAGGGAAGUUUAUCUAUUCGAAUAGUCGUGUCCCUCGGUAAAAGGAUGACCCGGAGUUGUACCUUGACCUUAUGACAACUAGAACCAUAUACUUAAUAAAACACACCCUUCCAAGUGCCAGAUACAACCCGGUGAUCGCUCUCUAACAGGGCGACGAGGAGAGGAUUGCCGGGUAGGAUUAUGCUAUGCGAUGCUACUGGAGAUGCUACUUGGAGAUGCUACUGGAGAUGCUACUUGGAGAUGCUACUUGGAGGACUUCAAUCUACUCUCUUCUACAUGCUACAAGACGGAGGCUGCCAGAAGCGUAGUCUUCGACAAGAUUAGCUAUCCCCCUCUUAUUCUGGCAUUCUGCAGUUCAGUCCGCUGAUAUGGCCCUUUACACAUAUACCCAUGCAUAUGUGGUGUAGCUCCUUGCUUGCGAGUACUUUGGAUGAGUACUCACGGUUGCUUUCUCCCCCCUUUUCCCCCUUUCCUUUCUUUCUGGUUGCCGCAACAAGAUGCUGGAGCCCAGGAGCCAGACGCCACCGUCAACGACGACUACUACACUGGAGGUGCCUACUACUACGUGCAGGCCGCUGACGACGACCAUGAGUAGUUUAGGAGGAUCCCAGGCAGGAGGCCUGUGCCUCUUUCAAUCUGUAUCCCAGUUUGUGCUAGCCUUCUUAAGGCAAACUUGUUUAACCUAUGUCUGUACUCAGAUAUUGUUGCUUCCGCUGACUCGUCUAAGAUCGAGCACUUGUAUUCGAGCCCUCGCGGCCCCUGGAUUGUAUUAUGAUGCUUGUAUGACUUAUUUAUGUUUUAGAGUUGUGUUGUCAUAUCUUCCCGUGAGUCCCUGAUCUUGAUCGUACACAUUUGCGUGCAUGAUUAGUGUAUGAUUGAAUCGGGGGUGUCACAAGUUGGUAUCAGUGCCGACUGCCUGUAGGAAUCCCCCUUCCAUACUCCUUGGCCGAAGUCGAGUCUAGUCAUUGCAACACUUUUACUAACAUGGCUGUGUGCCUUACGGGCCCACGUCGCCAUUGGGUGGUAUUAGGAUCUUUUACUCCUCGAUCUUUACUCUGGGACUCUGAGCUCUCUUCUAUUCGGGUUAAACUAUUUUGCUAAAAACAAAACUAACUAUAGGUUCUCGCAAGUACUUUCUCCCGGAGAGCCCCUUGUUACCGAUGACCGCCUACUGCACCAGAAGAUUCCGAAGAUACUCUACGAUGUGCUCUCGAGACUAUGUGCCAUUGCUUUUGCAAUUCACUUCCAUCGAUAAAUCCCUUUGGAUAACUACUUACACCUAUCGUUCAUAUUGUCAUCCCCAGUUGCUCUUGUUAUUACAAGAUGUCCUGAAAUACUCUUCGAUAUUCCGAGAAUUCUUUAUGCUUACUGCCCUGCAGUUCCUUGCUGCAUGAAUACCCCUACGCUUAAUUACUCGCGCUUGCCGAGUAUCUGUUUGUCCAAAGUUGUUCAUGUGUUUCACAAAAAUACAUUCAAAUACAACCUGAUCUUCCGAAAAUCCUGAUUAGCCUAUUGCUCUUGAAAUUCUUGCUUACUUGCAUUAUGGUUAAUCCCAUAAAUCUCGUAGUCUUAAUGGCAUCCCUUGUCAUUAUCAUUUUGAGUCUGUUGACUCAAUAUGUUUGCGAAUACACGCAAUCAUCAUUGAUCCUUAUAAAUUACCUUUCCGACUGAGCUCCCAUUCUUUUAACUGGAAUUGGUUCUCGACCAAUCCAAUUGCCGUUGAUUGUACCCUAAGGCUAUUCAACUUAUCCAUCCCUAAUCAGAGCAUUGCUUCUGAUCCUUCGAUUUGGAUUCAUAAUUCCUUUGCAUUUAUGCUUCGAAUUAGUCAAAUGAUUCUAUAACCCGAUGCAUUUGCAUUCUUUCUUCCUCUGGUUGGGUACCGAUGCUCACAUCAGCUCCGUUAUGGACCGUUGGGUCCUUUGAUGAAUUAUCAUCCGACAGUGUCCUUCGUAUCCAAAAAAAAAUCUCAAGAAGUUCUGAUACAUAAUACCAUUGAUAAAUCUUAUUCUCUAUUUUGGCCAACCAUGCUCUGCUCUCGAGCUGGUGAUGUUUACUAUGAAGUUUGUGAUAUAUGUUCCUAUGAUGCCCCGAUGGGUUGAACCAUUGCCUUACCUAAUCUAUGUAAGCCCGAAAGAUUUCAUGGGCCAUACUCUUUUGGUAUUUUGCUACAUAAAAUUUCAAGAUCACAACUUCUUCGAAAAUGCGAAGAGAAUGGAAGGUUAUGCGUUGAGGAAGUGGGAUUCGACCUUCAACCUUUGUGUUCAUGCCCAUGGACAUGAUGUGGGACCUACCAUAGAAGCUUCUUGUUAUAAUAACUAUUUCGUUGAUAUAAUAUCAUCUGGUAUCUGUGAAUUGAUCCUAUGCAAUCGUGGUUCCGACCCUAUUUUCUCUUUGAUCCCAUUUUUCGGGCAAGUUGAAGCACUUGUCUUUUGGAAGUCGAUACACCAUUCCAACCUCUACCUUGAUCUACCCUCGGGUAUCUCAAGAAUAUCUAAGAACUGUGUUGCUUCUUAUGAGUCCUCAUCAGCUAUUAUUUCUCACUGAUUCGAAUUUUCUCGGGUUCUGGGUUGUCGUCAAUCGAGAACACCGAUUCCGCAUUUCGGUUCGAUAGCCCUACGUAAUUUCCGUUGCUUACGCGUUUAUUAAUCCUUUAAGUCUUUCCUAGCUUGAUCGGCUGUAUCGUUAUCAUGCUAAAUCUUAACUGUGCUACCUGGUCCUUCUUUCCGUAGCACAAUUUUCGAUGAUGAGCUAAGCUUACGUCACUCUUCCUCGUCAUAUCAUUUCGCCUUGAACAACAAGCUAGAUUUCGAGUUUGUGUGGUACCCGUGGUUCCAAUAACCGUUUGCUUCAUCAUUCCUAUUGACUUGAUGUCAUCGCCGACCGAUUACAUCUUCAUGAAAUCUCUCGACAAGUGUGUCGUGAUCAUCAUCAACCUUAUGAGCUCUUCCAGGAUAUCAAUUGAGUUCAUGAUGAGGAAUACUAUCCUUGCCCUUGAUGGUUUGUGUUAUCAUCGACAACAUUAUUGCCUUCCCUCCAACACAUACUUGUUCAUGUUAUGGAGUUCCUUGAUAUCCAGCUUAUGUCCUACCAUGGAGCACUAUCGUAUUUUAUGUCAAGAAUGUUGCGAGAAAUUCACCACCCCUAAGAAUUCUUGAUACAAGUGAUACUUAUUACCAUCACCAUUCUUGCUUGGUCCCCGUGUUGUUUCUAAUCGGAAUACCGACAAAUGGACUGUGAUGUGUAAAUUCUAAACUUCUAGCAACCCUAUUGCUUUGAAGUUAUUGGUCUAUAGUUUCAUUUUAUGUCUAUGUCUUAUUGAAUCAUCAUUCAAACAUUGAUCGUGCUACCUAGCCCAUAUUUCGGGCGCACGUUUCAACCAAUGUUUAACUAUGUAUGUUUUCCUCGAGCAUACAUCAUUUUACCAGUUGAUCUGACAAAUGUUAUCUCCUUGUUCACAUAAUGGUGGAAAUCCAUCUUUAGUUAACCUCGAUGGAUUGUCGCUGAGUCAAUCAGUCAUCUCCUCACCUCUCCUUGAUUUAAUGGUGAACCCCUAUUCGGAACUCGCUUCCAUAGUUCAUUUCCCAAGAAUCAUAUAAUGUCAUCUCGUCAAUUGUGUUGCACCUCUUCUUCUCAGGCAUCCUGAGUUUAUGGUGUCCUGACACCAUUCAGAUUUGAAGCUUGUCAAAUAUGAUGGUUAGAACAUUUUCCAAGAGUCUUAGCAUUGAUCUUUAUAUAACCCCGUAAGGUGAUGUCAUGCCUAGCACACCUGACCGGAGGACCGAGUGUUAUAGUUUCCUUUUUAACAAGGUUAUCCAUUCUUCCAUGAGGAAACUGUAAGACUUAUUCUAUAAGUUGUUUUCGAUGGAUCCUUUGUACCCAAAGCCGGACCUUUGCUUGAAGACCAUGUCAAUACAGUCUCGAAGCCUGUCUAUGGCACUCCGAUUUUCAACAGGAACAUUUGAAGCCCAAUGCUAAAUGUUUCUUGCUCAAUUAUCCAAACACCGCUGUAUGGAUAAUGUCAUGAAAAUUUCUCUCCCCUCACCUAGAGGCUUUUCUACCUUAUAUCCUGUCAAGGAUAUCAUGCUCUGCUUGUCCUUGGGAAGGAUAUACCCCUGAAAUAUGUGUUUAAACACAUUUUUCCUUUCCAUUGUUUGUUUAAACUGAUAAUCAUAUUUUCCUUCCAUUGGUUGGUUUAAUGUUUCUUGUGACCUAUAUGAUCUAAGCAGUAAUAUUCUCCUUCUUAUGUAAACACCUCGGUGUACAACUCUGUCAGCAAGACCCUGUUACCAUUGUUGAUGACAUUUUGGUAACCACCGAUGGACGAGAACUUUGCCUAUUGGUCCGCAUCGUUCAACGAGCAGGAAAAUGGUUCUCUUCGUUCCUCGCCCUUGGUAUCGACGUUGUUGCUGACAUAAUUGACAUGCUACCCUCUGACAUGCCUUUCUUGCAUGACCAUGUAAGAUGUCAACGUCCUUCAUACCUUUAACCAACAUGGUGGGCCCAUAACCCACAAUUCCACAGGAUCGAAACUUGACUCUCCUACACCCCCUGUUCCCAAGGUUCUUCCUCGCGUGUGGCCUCGUAUGUAAUUCACGAGCCGCCUUCCGAGAGAUCAUCAAAUCUGUUACCGGAUGCAAUACUUAGUCCCGAUUUCCUUGAGCCCCUUUCAAGCCCUGUUCAGGCAUCAAACGGUUGCCUGCUCGCUCGAAACUUCCAUGAAACCUCAUUACUUGCUCUCGAUAUUUACUUAAGUUUUAGUUCGAGAGUUACUUUCCGCCACCUUCCCCGAUGUUAGCUACUAGGUAGCAACCUUGUAGAGGUCUGGCCUUUUGAAGCUACCCCUUACCCUUUUCGUAAGUACGAUGGAGAUCCCGAAGAAAGGACGUCGACUUCAUCAUGAUGACCUGCAGCAGAGAAAUGAAGACAUCAACGUAGUGGAUCUACCUCUUCGAGGAGAGUAACCAAGACCAAGAAGGAUCGUUAGAAUUUCGUAACCUAGUCUUUCCCCUUACUCACCUCCUAUUCUUGGGACGAGAUUUGUUGUAGUGGAGGAGAUUUGUAACGCCCGGAUAAUUAGGCUACAGUAAAACUCUUCUAAUGAUGCCAUGUCAUCUGUGUUACUGUUGCUAAUCAAGUGGUAGUUCAAAAUCAUUGCAAAUUCAAAAUAUGAAUUAGUGACAAACACCCUAAGUUUUCAAAAGUCAAAGCGAAAAUGUUCGGGGGUUGCCAAAUUUUGCACUGGUAAUUAUGGUGAAGCAAACACCUUUUUAUAAAAUGCCUAAAUGCCCUAAAACUAAAUAAAACAGAAAGGGAAAGUAAAUAAAAGAAAGAAAUUACAAAAAAACAAAAAAA